CCUACGGGUGACAGCAGUAGGGAAUCUUUCACAAUGGGCGAAAGCCUGAUGGAGCAACGCCGCGUGCAGGAUGAAGGCCUUCGGGUUGUAAACUGCUUUUAUAAGCGAGAAAUAUGAUAGUAACUUAUGAAUAAGGAUCGGCUAACUACGUGCCAGCAGCCGCGGUCAUACGUAGGAUCCGAGAAUUAUCCGGAGUGACUGGGUGUAAAGAGUUGCGUAGGUGGCAUAAUAAGUAGCUAGUGAAAUCUGGUGGCUCAACCAUUCAGACUAUUAGCUAAACUGUUAAGCUCGAGAACGUUAGGGGUAACUGGAAUUUCUAGUGUAGGAGUGAAAUCCGUAGAUAUUAGAAGGAACACCAAUGGCGUAGGCAGGUUACUGGGACGGUUCUGACACUAAGGCACGAAAGCGUAGGGAGCAAACGGGAUUAGAUACCCGAGUAGUC
rnacentral:rRNA from 1 species